UCAUAGCUCCAGUAAAUAGUUAUCUAAAGAAGCUUGUCUUAAACGUUUGACACCAGACGUUGUUUUCGAGAACAAGACGCUGCAAGUACUAGACAUUGUUAACAAAGGGAAGCCGAGGAUCUAGCCACUGCUUUAAGAAAGAGACUUGAGCUAACCAUGUAUGUGUUCAAUCUAUUAACUGGCACUGUUUUACUCACCGCUUUUAAUGGAUACAGUUUCGGACGGGAUGUUGUUGAGAUUCCUCAAGACGAGCAAAUAUCUGAUCUUUGGAUUCAGAAAUUCACGUUGUGGUUCAGAAUUAUAGACAUCAACAAUGACGGUUUCGUCUACAAAGAGGAAUACGUGGACGAAGUGACAAAACGAGCUCAACAGGUUCUCUCCCCAUGGAGGGCCAAUGCUGUGUUCGGACUAAUGGCAAAAGAUUGGCAGUUUUCGUUGCACGGCAAAACGUCCAACACAAAACAAGCAAUCAACCUCGAUAGGUUUCUUAAGUUGUAUGAAUUGAACCUCCUAACCGCAUCAGUGAAUGAGCUUCAGAUAUAUUGGUGUUCGGAUUUGUUCCAUAUUUUAGAUGUAGACUGCGAUGAAAAAAUGUCUCUUGACGAGUAUUCCAAGCUUUUACAUAUAACACGCAAUAUAUUGCCUCCUGAAGAACUGUUCAAUUACAUUGACCGCAACCAAAAUCACAUCAUAAGUUUGGAAGAGUUCUUAUUUGGCUGUAACGAUUUUUAUUUCGAAAUGAAAGACAACACGACAGUCCUGUUUUAUGGCUU